CCCUUAGAUGUUCUGGGCUGCACGCGCGCUACACUGAUGCGUUCAACGAGUGUAUCACCUUGCCCGAUAGGGUUGGGUAAUCUUUUGAACACGCAUCGUGAUGGGGAUAGAUUAUUGCAAUUAUUAAUCUUCAACGAGGAAUUCCUAGUAAUGAUGAAUCAUCAGUUCAUCGUGAUUACGUCCCUGCCCUUUGUACACACCGCCCGUCGCUCCUACAGAUUGAGCAGUCCGGUGAAUAAUUCGGACUGCGGCAUUGACCGGUUCCCGAUCGUUGCUGCGGAAAGUUUAGUGAACCUUAUCACUUAGAGGAAGGAGAAGUCGUAACA
rnacentral:rRNA from 1 species